UAUCCUGUAUGUGCAAUGACGAAGUAGUUAUCUGAUCAUUUUCUAGGAUAGCACACAAGAAACAUGCUACUUAGCUUGUGCUCAUAUUCACGAGUGAAGUUUUUCUCCCAUAGGAACAAAUUAUGUUCCUAGAUCAGUUAUUUACUACAAAGUGAAAUUCUUACCAUUUCUCUGCAAUGUUCCUUUAGGCAAUUACUGAUAUUAACGUGUGCUUGUCACAAACUAGUUAGAAGCCCGUGCGCUGCUACGGAAAAACAAAAUACGAGUAAAAACACAACAUGUUAAUAUGAGCACAUGAAAACAGAACAAAACAAAUGUACACAUGAAAAGUUCAUUUGCGGGUUGUAAAACCAAAAGGAAUUCAAAAAUAAAUCCUAGCGGAGAAGAACCUUGAGCUCCACGAAGCAUAUUCUAGAACUUACAAUUAUGCAGCAAAUUAAGGAGCACGGAAGUGUUCUUUGAGAAGAUGUACACUUGUUUGACCAGCUCUGAACUUCCAAUCUUCAGAAGCCGACCAACGGAAGUGUUGCAAUGUACUCCCUCCGAUCCUACUAAAUUGUUGUCGAAAUAUUACAUGUAUCUAGACAUUUUUUAAGAAUAGAUACAUUCAUAUUUGGGCAAACUUGAGACAAGAAUUUAGGAUUGGAGGAAUACUUGAUUUUCAGAAGAUGCUGUUUGGCUUGGCGCAGAUAAACAUGAUGAAUUGAUGAUCAAGUACACAAUUACUCAAAGUUAAAGCAGAAGCAGAUCGAUUAGCUGUUUGGAUUGGCGUCGAUGAUGAUCAAAGACAAAAUUACUCAAACUCAAAAGCAGACCAAAAAACUUCAGUCUGAAGCCUAACAAGUAACAACAUGAGAGGAAUAGUAGUAGAGGAGGCGGGGAGACAAUACUUAAGACGUGCAUUGCACAACAGCUCUUCCUGACGGAGCUCGUGCUCUGUGGUCAGUGGCAGCCAGGACGCGUCGUUCCCGUGGUCGAGCAUUCGAGCUCGGCCUCAUCGUUCACACAUAUUCUAGGCACAGGCGUCUGCGUGUCGGAGCAGGUCGUGCAACAAGGAUGCCCAACAGCAGACGAGGCGCUCCUCGAUGCCUCGCUCAAGGUGGCUGCAUCGCGGGAGCACGGCCCUGACGGCAUCCAUGGCCGCGUCGCCGCCGUUGGUGCUCACGAAUUGGGCAUCUUCUUUCCCUCAAAAAUAUUGGGCAUCUUCUGAUCGACGGGCGACUGAACGCUCGUAGAUGGCGACAUCGGAGGCGCAGUAGCCCAACCUCCACCAUGGUGGUCGAUCUCCCCUUUGAUUAUGCCGGUCCGGGCCAUUUUUUUCCCAAAUUGAAUCAGGGAAAUUAUUGUUUACCACCCUGUGAAUCGAUUUUGCCUUCGGAUUUCAAGAAAAGAGCAGAAGAUUGGGGUUGGAGACGAUGUGAAGCUUCCUGAGGAUGGGGUCGGCAGAGGAGGAAGAAGAGGGAGGGGGCAAGAGGGUAGAGGGAGGGAAUCCGCCGCCGAGUCAUGUCUCCGCCGCGCUUGCCACAGCCCAUCGGUUCCCAGCCACCGCGAACUCCGCCUCCUGCUGCGGCACCCGCGCCGCUGGUGCCGCUGGUGGGCAGCCGACGGGCCACGGACGGACGGGGACGGGAGGAGGAGAGUGGCUUGGUUUCUCGUGGGGCGUGUUGGCGAGAGAAAGAGGAACGGUGGCGGGGCUCGGUGGCGUGCUGAGCGAGACGCGACGCGAGGUUCGCGGUGAAAGAAAAGGAAAAACGCUUCAGGAGAAAGAAUAAAAUCCGCGAGGGGGUCAGGCGGUGGACGUACGGUGACGACCGUACCAUCACCACCAACUCCAAUUUAAUAUAUUGUUAUAGAUUAUAGAUUUACAGUAAGGCCUUUUCGUUGUUCUGGUCCUUCACUUGAAUGAGCCUCUUACCUUCCGAAGCAUAUUUCAUGAACUCUAUAGCAGAUAUGUCUAUUCGGAGUAACAUUGCCAGAAGUUUUAACAUUUGUUGUUGGAAGCACGAGCUCCAUUUCUGUUAUUAUUGCCUUGCUUUGGCUGUAUGCUAGAGAUUAAUGCUUUGGACUUGAUUUA